UACGGGGGGGGCAAGCGUUGUUCGGAAUUACUGGGCGUAAAGGGUUUGUAGGUGGCUUGCUAAGUCAGACGUGAAAUCCCUCAGCUUAACUGGGGAACUGCGUCUGAGACUGGCGAGCUUGAGUGCAGGAGAGGAACGCGGAAUUCCAGGUGUAGCGGUGAAAUGCGUAGAUAUCUGGAGGAACACCGGUGGCGAAGGCGGCAUCCUGGACCGGUAUUGACGCUGAGGCGCGAAAGCUAGGGGAGCAAACGGG
rnacentral:rRNA from 1 species